UGGGGAAUAUUGCACAAUGGGCGCAAGCCUGAUGCAGCCAUGCCGCGUGUAUGAAGAAGGCCUUCGGGUUGUAAAGUACUUUCAGUCGGGAGGAAGGUGGUAAGGUUAAUAACCUUAUCAAUUGACGUUACCGACAGAAGAAGCACCGCCUAACUCCGUGCCAGCAGCCGCGGUAAUACGGAGGGUGCAAGCGUUAAUCGGAAUUACUGGGCGUAAAGCGCACGCAGGCGGUUGAUUGAGUCAGAUGUGAAAUCCCCGGGCUUAACCCGGGAAUUGCAUCUGAUACUGGUCAGCUAGAGUCUUGUAGAGGGGGGUAGAAUUCCAUGUGGAGCGGUGAAAUGCGUAGAGAUGUGGAGGAAUACCGGUGGCGAAGGCGGCCCCCUGGACAAAGACUGACGCUCAGGUGCGAAAGCGUGGGGAGCAAACAGG
rnacentral:rRNA from 1 species